UGAAAAUAUUCCCCAUGCUUGGCAGAGGUUUUUCUAAGGUUACAAUUUUCUAUCCAGCACAGACUAGCAUGAGGAGAUACAAACAAAAGAAACAGAGUGUCUAUGUAAGGAUCAGAUGUAAAUUAAAUGAUAAAAGACUGGGGGGAAACGCCUGGAAACAACGCUGAAGGGAUAAUCUUCUGUUCUGCCCAUGUAUCUUACAGCAAAUACACAGCCUCCACGAGACUGGGUUAAAGGCGAAAGUAGAUUACAACAGUAGGACAAGAUUAUUUCACCUGUUUCUAAUUUGGGGAAAAUAUCUCAGAGAAACAUUACUUUAAUCUGCACUAGUCCCCAAAAUGCCACCCCAGACAGAUCACUUUUGCUGCAGGAUGGAGAACAAGUUAAAGAAGGCCAGUUAGAAGGUGUGGCGAUGAUCCUGUCAAGAGAUGAUGUGGCCUAAAUCAGAGCAUGGCAAAGGGACUGAUGAAAAAUAGACUUGUGGUAAGGACCAAAUACAAGGAAGGAAGAGAUGUCAACAGGGAUGCCUGGAUGCUAAUGGAGAUGGGGACACUUUCCAAAGAAUGGACUGGAGGGGGACACUUGCUCCAUUGUUUUCAUAAUGCUUGUUUUGGUUUUUUUAUUUCAGUCAUCCUUAAGCAAUUGUUCUAAAGGGUACUCCCCCACACACAUACACACACAGUGCUACAUGUAAACUGUAGUAAACCAAUUGUAGGACUCCCCUGUUACUCCUUUUCUGCUCAGUUACCUGCUCCCCAAGAGAUCCUCAAGAAGCUCAAGACUCACAAGUUUUCUUUAAUUCUGAUGUCAGUGGCCAGAAACAUCACCACAUAUAGCUUAGGCCUGAGGUUCUCCACCAGCUGGUACCUUCACUCACACAUUUUCCUAUAGAUAGUCCUGCCAUGCAAGCUUUACCCACUACCGCUUCCUCAGCUGCGCCUAUCUGUGCCACAAAGGCCUUGACCCUUCACCCUUCAGAUGACGCUUCCCUGACAUUCUCUGGGCUGUACAGUUUUCAUUGCUUCUCUCCUUCCACUUGUCCUUAGGCUGCAAGGGUGACUCUUCACAGCUCCAAACCCCACCACUGCCACCAACUGCAGAAACAACAAGAAUUCACUUUACUUCCUCUUUCUCAAAAGAACCAAAAUCCAUUCGUGCUCACCAUGUUGCAGCCACCCUUCCAUCCUCUGUUCUUGGUUCCCAGGCAGCUUAUUUCCUUCAUGUCCCUGGCGCAGACUCAACCUCUCUUACUUUUUCUCUGGAAUCUCCACUCUUUAGCAGAUGUUAACUGAAGGAGAAAGAGAAAGUAAUAUUUUUUCUCCCUUGGAAGUUUGCCUCAAAUCAAUCAAUUUGCCAUAUUUAACAUUCCAGCUUUGUG
rnacentral:lncRNA from 1 species